GUGGAAAUAAAGUAUGUUAGGUGGUAAACGCCGUUACACCUUAAGAGCGUUAAAAGAGCAUAUAGAAAAUAAAUUAAGCAAAUUUAAAAAGCCAACGUUAGCUACCAUGAGCACCGCUGAAGCUACUCUUAGCCCUUUUGAAAGAGUAAAAAUUUUAAAAGAAAAGAAAGUUUCUUCUAAAGAAGGAUCUCAAAGCAGU